GAUCAAGCUACAAAGGGCGCACGGUGAAUGCCCUGGCACUAGGAGCCGAUGAAGGACGUGAUAAGCUGCGAUAAGCUACAUGUAGGCGCACACAGCCUGUGAUAUGUAGAUUUCCGAAUGGGGAAACCCAUCUAGUUAUGCUAGAUACUGUAUACCGAAUACAUAGGUAUAUGGAGGUACACCUGGGGAACUGAAACAUCUAAGUACCCAGAGGAAGAGAAAGAAAAUUCGAUUCCCUAAGUAGCGGCGAGCGAAAGGGGAAGAGCCCAAACCAGGAACUUGUUCCUGGGGUUGCGGAUAGAUCAUAACGCUUUGAUUUCUUUAGUUGAAGAGAACUGGAAAGUUCCGUCGUAGAAGGUAAUAACCCUGUAGGCGAAAAGGAAAGAAAAGUAGAUCUACUCCAGAGUACCACGAGACACGUGAAACCUUGUGGGAAGCUGGGAGGACCAUCUCCCAAGGCUAAAUACUACCUAGUGACCGAUAGUGAAGCAGUACCGUGAGGGAAAGGUGAAAAGAACCCCGGAAGGGGAGUGAAAUAGAAUCUGAAACCGUGUGCCUACAAUCGGUCGGAGCACAUUAAAGUGUGACGGCGUACUUUUUGUAGAACGGGCCAGCGAGUUACGAUAUAUAGCAAGGUUAAGCACUUAUGGUGUGGAGCCGAAGGGAAACCGAGUCUGAAUAGGGCAACUAGUUGUAUAUUGUAGACCCGAAACCGAGUGACCUAUCCAUGGCCAGGAUGAAGCGGAAGUAAAAUUCCGUGGAGGUCCGAACCACGUUGGUGUUGAAAAACCAUGGGAUGAGCUGUGGAUAGCGGAGAAAUUCCAAUCGAACUCGGAGAUAGCUGGUUCUCCUCGAAAUAGCUUUAGGGCUAGCGUCGGG
rnacentral:rRNA from 2 species